AGAACGAACGCUGGCGGCGUGGAUAAGACAUGCAAGUCGAACGAGAGAAUUGCUAGCUUGCUAAUAAUUCUCUAGUGGCGCACGGGUGAGUAACACGUGAGUAACCUGCCCCCGAGAGCGGGAUAGCCCUGGGAAACUGGGAUUAAUACCGCAUAGUAUCGAAAGAUUAAAGCAGCAAUGCGCUUGGGGAUGGGCUCGCGGCCUAUUAGUUAGUUGGUGAGGUAACGGCUCACCAAGGCGAUGACGGGUAGCCGGUCUGAGAGGAUGUCCGGCCACACUGGAACUGAGACACGGUCCAGACACCUACGGGUGGCAGCAGUCGAGAAUCAUUCACAAUGGGGGAAACCCUGAUGGUGCGACGCCGCGUGGGGGAAUGAAGGUCUUCGGAUUGUAAACCCCUGUCAUGUGGGAGCAAAUUAAAAAGAUAGUACCACAAGAGGAAGAGACGGCUAACUCUGUGCCAGCAGCCGCGGUAAUACAGAGGUCUCAAGCGUUGUUCGGAAUCACUGGGCGUAAAGCGUGCGUAGGCUGUUUCGUAAGUCGUGUGUG
rnacentral:rRNA from 1 species